AUGGGUUUUUGCUGUUGUGGCAGCCGGGCAGCGACUCGGGAAACAUCUUGUAUUGGCACAUUGCAUACACAUGCAGGUUCUAUGGCCUAUCUGAAUCUUAUCAACAACACUUUGAUGGGUUCAGAAGCAAUACAUGGGGUGCAUGUGAACUACAAGAGCAUUCAGUAUGAAUAUUUUACCCAUGGUUUUGCCCACUGUGAAAUUAAUUUGGAGAAGUUUGCACUGCUGUGGAAGAAGGAGAAACACAGUUCGGCUUCAGUGUGUACAAUGACUUCGGCUUCACAUGUGAAGCUUCAGUACUACCACGGCUCCGUCGACCACAAGUACUACCACGGCUUCGACAAUGACUACUUCGGCUUCACAUGUGAUUGGAACGCCAUCGGCCACGACUACUACAAUCCUGUCAUACAAGUCAACCCCGAUCGCGGCUACCACCACGACUUCGAACUAGUCGGAAUAUAG
rnacentral:rRNA from 1 species